UUCUGCAGGUACCGUCAAUUUCGUCCCUGCUGAAAGCGGUUUACAACCCGAGGGCCUUCAUCCCGCACGCGGCGUCGCUGCGUCAGGCUUUCGCCCAUUGCGCAAGAUUCCUAACUGCUGCCUCCCGUAGGAGUCUGGGCCGUGUCUCAGUCCCAGUGUGGCUGGACAUCCUCUCAGACCAGCUACCCGUCGUCGCCUUGGUGAGCCGUUACCUCACCAACAAGCUGAUAGGCCGCGAGCCCCUCCUGAAGCGGAAUCCAUUUCUCUGCCGAGCCAUGUGACCCAGCAGAGGUAUCGGGUAUUAGCAGCCGUUUCCGGCUGUUAUCCCCGUCUUCAGGGCAGGUUGCUCACGUGUUACUCACCCGUUCGCCGCUAGCACCUCCAAGGUGUUGCACCAAGAAGGCACCCGCUCGACUUGCAUGUGUUAAGCACGCCGCCGCGUUCGUCCUGGCCAUGAUCAA
rnacentral:rRNA from 1 species